GUCCACGCCCUAAACGAUGUCUACUAGUUGUCGGGUUUUAAUUAACUUGGUAACGCAGCUAACGCGUGAAGUAGACCGCCUGGGGAGUACGGUCGCAAGAUUAAAACUCAAAGGAAUUGACGGGGACCCGCACAAGCGGUGGAUGAUGUGGAUUAAUUCGAUGCAACGCGAAAACCUUACCUACCCUUGACAUGGCAGAAAUCCCGGAGAGAUUUGGGAGUGCUCGAAAGAGAAUCUGCACACAGGUGCUGCAUGGCUGUCGU
rnacentral:rRNA from 1 species